GGGAGAUCGGAGGGGGAUGGAAGGUGGGGAAAGAAAACCCAGGUGAGAGAGGAGUGGGGAGGAAAGAGAGGAGGGGGAAGGUGAGAGAGGAGGGGGGAGGUGAGAGAGGAAGAGGGAGGUGAGAGAAGAGAGGGGAGGUGAGAGAGGAGCGGGGAGGUGAGAGAGGAGGGGGAAAUAAAGGAGAUGGAAGGAGUGGUGGAGAGGAAGGGAGGAGGAGAAGGAUUAGUGAAAAAAGGAAGGAGAGGAAGGAGCAGAGGAAAAAGGAAGGAUAAAAGGAAAGGGGGGCAAUGAGGAAGCAGGAGGGAGAUGAGAAAAGGAAAGAAGAAGGGAGAGGAAUGGCCAGACCCAGAGAGCAGCAGAGGAGCAUGGGGAGCAAGAGCCUGGGACAGGCAGGCACAGAUGGCAGCGGUGACCCUGCACCCACCCACCAGCGCCCAGUAAGCCACACCUCCCGCCCCUGCACCCCAGCCUGGGCACCUCUCGGUUUCGGCCCCCUCGUCGGUACUCUCUGGGGGCGCCAAGGACUCCAGGCUCAUUGGGCCCUGCGGGGAUGAGUCCCCCAGCUCCAGGGGGGCGUCAGCACC
rnacentral:lncRNA from 1 species